GACGAACGCUGGCGGCGUGCUUAACACAUGCAAGUCGAACGGAAAGGCCCCCUUGUGGGGUACUCGAGGGGCGAACGGGAGCGUAACACGUGCGUAACCUACCCUUGACUUUGGGAUAACUUCAGGAAACUGGGGCUAAUACCGGAUAGGAGCUCCUGCUGCAUGGUGGGGGUUGGAAAGUUUCGGCGGUUGGGGAUGGACUCGCGGCUUAUCAGCUUGUUGGUGGGGUAGCGGCACACCAAGGCGUUGACGGGUAGCCGGCCUGAGAGGGGGACCGGCCACUGUGGGACUGAGAUACGGCCCACACUCCUACGGGGUGCAGCAGUGGGGAAUAUUGCACAAUGGGUGGAAGCCUGAUGCAGCAUCGCCGCGGGCGGGAUGACGGCCUUCGGGUUGUAAACCGCUUUCGCCUGUGACGAAGCGUGAGUGACGGUAAUGGGUAAAGAAGCACCGGCUAACUACGUG
rnacentral:rRNA from 1 species